rnacentral:lncRNA from 1 species
CAAGCAGAGUUUCUGCUGCCUCUGGGGACCGGUUACCAGUGAUUAAAGCCACGCUUCACCAUCUGCAAUUAGUUGUGUAAAUGCUCUGUUCUUGAAUGAUGUCUCAGGCUCCAAAAGAGACUUACGUGGGAGAAGAUAGUUUUAUAGUAGUCUUUGUUGGGGUGCCCAAGCCUGCUGCCUUGAUGUAGCUUUUGCUUUGCUUCUCAGCUUGGAGAGCUUGCAGAGCAAAGAACUGUCAAAAUUUUGUCUUCUUAAAACCAUUGUUGUUAGGUUUUCAUUAAAAUCUGGAAUAAAAUUACUGUGUUUUACGACUUUUUUUUGUUUUAGGUGCUUAAAGAAGCAGAGCUGAAUUUGCUGGGUAAAGCAGGCUGCAAAAUCCCAUUGAUUUUUAAUGGUAAUGAUGCAAGAUAAAUUUUUAGGGGAGUCUGACAGUCUUUCCAGACACCUAAUUGUGGUGUUAGGAGCCUAAACACAUCUCAGUUUAGAAUACCUGGUCAUUAAUUCCGUGAAGCCAAUGUCUCCAUUUCUGGAGAAACAACGUGAGGAGGUGUUUCACUGGGAUCCUACAGUUCAAUCCCUUUUAUUAAGUUAAAUAAGACUGCUGCUCAGAGAAUAACACCCAUUGCUCCUUUUCUGACUUGCUGCUAAUUAAUUUUUUACCAACCUGUGCUGGAACCUGCUGCAUGUAUUUCCGAGCCUGCCGAAAGCCAAGCAGUUGGCAUUACUCAUUGCCUCAAUAAACAUCUUCUCAGUGCCUUCAAGACGUGGGGAGCUGAAUGCAUCCCUCCCCUUUGCCAGGUGCUCUGAGCAGGAUUCACUUGAGAGAAGCACGGUCCUGAUGGGUAUUUUAUGGGGCUGCCUGGAAGAGACUGUGAUGAUAAAUAUCAGAGCUGCUAAGUAAUAGCAGAGGGGGCUUAACUUAAGUAUACGUUUCAAUUUCUUGAGCUGAUUUGCAGUUAUAACUAAGGUACCGAAUGGAAUUAACUUCUCUGGAUUUAAUUUUUCCUUUUGUUUUUAUGGGUUAUUUGUGUUUUUUUUUUCUGUGUGUGUUGCUUUUGUGACUUUUCUCAGGUGGAUUAGAAGGGGAUCUUCUGGCACAGUUGUGCUACGAUUGCUGUUCUGGAUCCACGAAGCUGCUGUUUCACAGGGUGCAGUACACACCAUGGCCAGAGCUGCUGCUUCGCACAAACAACAAUGUCCAGCUGGUAGUGGAAGAGAGGAGGAGGAGAGCACGCCCUGGGAAGGGGGAGAGCAAAGAGAGGAGGAGGAGAAGGGAUUUGGCAGGAGGAAGCAGGUGAGUGGGUGUCUUGGGCUGAGCUUUAGGGCAGCAGCCCUGCUGGAUGCUGGC